UACGUAGGGGGCAAGCGUUGUCCGGAUUUACUGGGCGUAAAGAGCGUGUAGGCGGCCACGCAGGUCCGUUGUGAAAACUGGAGGCUCAACCUCCAGACGUCGACGGAAACCGUAUGGCUAGAGUCCGGAAGAGGAGAGUGGAAUUCCUGGUGUAGCGGUGAAAUGCGCAGAUAUCAGGAAGAACACCAGCGGCGAAGGCGGCGCUCUGGGCCGGAACUGACGCUGAGGAGCGAAAGCGUGGGGAGCAAACAGG
rnacentral:rRNA from 1 species